rnacentral:rRNA from 1 species
CAGUCGCCGCGGGAAUACGUAGGGUGCGAGCGUCAAUCGGAAUUACUGGGCGUAAAGCGUGCGCAGGCGGUUGUGUAAGACAGGUGUGAAAUCCCCGGGCUUAACCUGGGAACUGCGCUUGUGACUGCACAGCUAGAGUAUGGCAGAGGGGGGUGGAAUUCCACGUGUAGCAGUGAAAUGCGUAGAGAUGUGGAGGAACACCGAUGGCGAAGGCAGCCCCCUGGGCCAAUACUGACGCUCAUGCACGAAAGCGUGGGGAGCAAACAGGAUUAGAUACCCGCGUAGUCCCUGUCUCUUAUAC